rnacentral:lncRNA from 1 species
GGUAUAAAUAUAUAUAUUAUUAUUAUGUGUAGAGUUAUUAUGAUAUCGAAAGUAUAAAAAAGUUGAUGCUUCUCACUUUUGGCCUUUGGAUCGGGAUAAUAGUAGUGGUCCCCUAUAGAAUUGAGUAGUACCCUUAUCCCCCAUAGAAUAAUUUUGAAGAAUAAUUUUUGUUGUUCCCGAGAACAGGAUAUAUUCCGCUAUAAACUAAAAUAAGUUGUAAAUUACGUUUGAAUAUUGUUUGUUUGUUUCUAGAAAAUAUUCUUAAUAAUGUUUAGAUGUUUUUGUUGAAAUAAGAUGUUGAAAAGAUAAAAAUUAAAUAGAAUAACAAAUUUGCACUUGAAUAUAAUAGUCAAAUAUGAUUUAAUAAAUUAAGUAUUAAAAUAAAUUAAUUCACAAAUUAAGUAUAUUUGUACAUUAUUUUAAAAUAUUAAUUUAGUAGUAUUCAAUUUAAAUUUUUUUUUU